UGGGGAGCCGAGAUGGACAGAGACUGUGCUUCUAAAGAGCUGCCAGCCACUGUCGGGCCUAGGGCGAAGGCCAGAGCGCGAGCAAGACAGAAAAGUGUCCCCUCACCCUUGGACGGUCUGGGCCCGUUCGCGCCCGCGCCUUCGCGUUCCAACUUGGAAGCCGCACUGGCAGCCCGCCCUGGAGCCCGGAGCUGGUUGCGGCCAGGUCUCAUGCUCACCUGGUGAAGCAGUGAGCCUCUCCAAAGUUUUGAAGAACACGUCCGGAAGCGCCCCUGGCGAAGGGCAGCUCGCAAACCUCGCUGGUCUCUGCACCAGGUGGAGCCCAGUGAGAGUCCUGGUGUGAGAGUCCUGGGAUGGGGCUCCUGUGGCCGAGGCAGAUGAAGGGAAGAUUCAAGAAUUGCUGUUGGGAAAAUGGAUUAGCCAUGAGGAGAAAACACCUAUUUGCCUCAGUCCUUACAACAUAUCAAGAUGGAUCAAAUAAUUGAAAAUAAAAAGUUCACAUGUAAACAUGUACAUAUACCAGAACAAAUCAUGGGUAACUCUUUUUUGAUCUUGGAUGGUAAAGACCUAAGAAUAACAAAAACUCCAGAAAUUAUGGAGGAUGAGAUCAAUACAUUUGACAACAUUUGUUCAUUCAACAAACAUUUACUGAGUGCCCACUCUGUGUAGCUAGAUUGUAUUCUAGACACAAGAUCUCAGAGUUAUUCAGAACGAGGGUUUGGGAGCUGAGCUAUCAUGCUCUCACAGUCAGUUCUAGUUAAGGGCUGUCCUUGGUGACCUUAAGCCCCCAGCACUUUGGACUCUCUGGGAAUGGGAGCAGAGCAGCCCCAGUGACCUGAGGACAGGUACCACCCAUUGGAGGCCAACGCACAUCAAGCCUCAGAGAGAGAUGCAGGAAACAGGAACAGUAAAAGGGACCGAGCACCAAAAUCCCAGGUCAAUCACAUUCCCCAAAUGUCUACUAUGCAGUGUCCUUGCACUAUUUAACAUUCUUCUUUAAAUUAACGUAAUACCUAUUUAAAUAGAGCUCUUUAAAUAGAAAAUUAGUGGAUGAGAUUUUUCUCAAGAUAAAUGGAAAAUGUAGGAAGGACCAGGGUGAGGAGGGCAGAGAUGGGCAUGCCAAGGCUGGGGGACAUGAGACCAGGGCUCGAGAAGCAAGGACAGGAGCAAGUAGGAGGAUGGCCUGGAGUCUCUGGGAGAACCCUAGGGGAGCUCCAGUGUGGGAGGGCACAACUGGACCGCAAGGUGGGGGGUGGGGUAGGGGUGAGACUGCUCUGAGGGUGAGGGAGAGGUUGCCCUUGACAAAGGAAUACUGGAUGUUGGGAUCAAAGUGAGGUGGUGAUCUGAAGAAAGGGGAGCUGGGAAGAGGGCAUUAAUCCAGAAGGGAGAGGUUGGCAAUGCCCUUCCCAGCCCGCCUCUGCCCUGCUCUCUGUCUUUGAAACUCUGCCCUCCAGGCUCUGUUCUUGGCCUCCUUUUUUGUCUUCUCUGUGGGCAUCUCAGUCUCACGUUCUGUGGGUCUGUCACUUAAGUUUCUGUCUCAGUACCUGCUUCUCUUUGCCUCUUUGAUUUUAACUGCAUGUGCGGCUGGUUCAGCACAUGGCCAUUCUGUUGGAAAAGGAGUGGUGGAAGCAGGAUCUGGGCAAAGAUUCCUGGUGGUCAGUCAAGUGGAUACAAACUUGAGCCCGCCCCCAGUCUCUCUCUUGGGGUCACCCUGGGACUUGGAGGAGGGUCUCCCAGGCGGCCUUCCUUCUCUCCUACUGUGAACCAGAAUUUGAAAUCAGCUUCCAAGGCCUGCUCCAGGUUAGGCAGGACAAACCAGGCCCACAGAGGUCCUUUUUUUUAUUCUCCAGGUGUGUAUUGGAGGAGGCAGGGGAAUACCAGAGGGUGGCACAGGGUAGAAGUGAUUCACCCUCCUGGCAGUCCAGGGAGGCCCCCCAAGGAGAUGAUGCUAACAAAGUCGUUUUCGGAGCCCUCGGAUUCUGGGUGAGAGGACUUUUGCAUCAGUAGUGUCCCAGAAAAGGCUGCAUGUAAGGGACAGGAGGACAUAAUGAUGGAGGAAGAGCAUGAGGUCUUGAAGGCCAGGUUGAGUUUGGACUUUACCCUGUAGGUAAUCUGGAGCCAUUGAUACUUCUUGAGCAAGGAACAAGCAUCAUUUAAGAAACUAGUUCAAAUCUGAAGGUUGAAAUGACAAACAACUCAAACCAGCUUAAGCCACAAUGGGAAGGGGACUGCACUGGCUCCUGUAACUAAACCAUGGUACAUACCUGGGCUAGAGUGGUCUGGAAGCGGCUCCCCUGAGUGGAGGAGACAGGUCCCUAGCGGGAGGGUGUGAACUCUAGCUGCCCCUCCUAUGACCUGGAGGAUCAAGGCAUUAUCAGGGAAGUCCUAGGGCUUCCUUAUGCCCCAGGACACCCUGUCUUGUCUUCCCCACUCAGGUUGCCCCAAGACAGCAUCCUUAAUGGCUCCCCAACAGCUCAAUUUUUCGCCCUUAACACCCAUGCUCCCCUGGCAUCCUAAUUCUUACUUUCCAGCACUCUCUCUCCCCCCGUCACACAUGGGUCCUUCCAACCAAAAGCCUGUGACCACUCACACCUGGGCUUCCCAGCCAUCUUCCCCCUCUACCCUUGUUCCCAGGAUGCUUUCCAUCUGUCCCUAGGUGGGACCUGUGCAUAGUAUCCUUCCCACCUAGAGACACUUCACUCCCAAGAAUAAGGCCCCCUGAUGGGCCAGUGGUCCAGUAGUUGUAGCCCGCCCUCUGGUGGCCCCCAUGUUGUGAGGUCCUUUCCACAUGCCCAGUGGGUACGGAAGCUGGCCUCUCUCCCUGCCAGCUCCCUGAGGUACUCUAACCAGAGCGGGCUGAGUUGUGUCCCACACAUCACCUGGCUGUUGUGAUGUGCAUGUCUGUUCAGCUUUCCCUAGGGUAUUAGCAGAAAAUCCCUCAGGAAUGUGAGGGCUUGUGUGCUUGUCUGGAGUGGAGAACAGGGGAAUUAAGAGUGAUGUGUUCCACUUGGCACCAGUCUUGGAGUAGGAGAUGAAAUAGCAGAGUGAAUGCUGGCUACUGGUGAGGAGAAAAGGGCAGCUAGCCAGAGGACCUGAGCACAGAUGGAACAGGACACUUGGAGUAAAGCUGAUGGUCAUGGAGUGUUUGGGGAAUUUGAGAGCAAGACAGAGAGAGACUCUGGGGCUUUGGGGCUGAGAUGUUGCAUCCUCAGUGUACCCAGAAAUCCAAGAAGCCUUCCUGGAAGAGGAUACCCUAGCCACUUCCCCUCUACCUCCAAAAUUCCAGACCUGCCCUACCCAGAGAAGUUGGAUGGACUGAAGUGAUACAGCCCUGCAUUCAGGUCCUUCCUGGAGCUCUCAGUGCGGGGAGGACCUGGCCUCAGCCUGCAACCUUGUUACAAAGGAAGAGCUAUGGGGGCAGAGUGGGCAGGGUAGCCCCGUGUGCCCUUAGCUCACUGGCAAGAGUGGCUUUGACUCUUGAAGGGGCAGAGAGUCAGAGUCCCAAGUUGAUUCGGUGACUCUGGAGGCAAUGAACCCCCUGAGAUGAGCCCCUACCCUUCUAGCCCCCAUGUGGAUGGUCCCUUCGAUGUCUCCCCUCGGUCGGGCACUAGGUGUCACCUGGCCAGGCUGGUGGAGGCUGCUCUUGCCUGGCUGCUGGCCUCUGGGCUCUCUCACCCAGGUUCCGCAGCCCCCGGCUUCGGCCCAGUCACAGGUGCCUGCGGUUGCCAAGGCAGAGUCAGCAGAGGUGGACAGAACAGACACACCCCCAGUCUGUGGCAUGACAUAUUUCAUGGGCAGGUCUGGUCACAGACACACGUCUUGGCACACACAGGAGCCAGCUCAUUUGUACAAAGGCUCAGAUAACAUGUCAGGACAUAGGGCGCACACGUAACCAGGCUGUCUCUGCCUGGGCUGGUUUCUCCCACCUUGGCACUGUCCUCCCUUACCCUCCUGCCCUCCUUUAAAAAAAAAAAUUCAGUAAUUUAUGUCAGUUUUAGGCGGUACUUUAAAAACAUACACCUAGUCCAAAUACAAAAAUUUUCAUAACUAAAGGCCCAACCCUGCCAAGUACUACCCCGCUCCUACCCUGUGCCCUCCAACCCGGCCUCCUGCCCUCCUGGUCUUGAACCCUCCCUCAAGUGCAUGGAUGCUAGUGAGAGCACGGGAGCAUCUGCAGGCACUUUCUAUUUUUCACAAAACUUUCCCCAGAGGCCUGUGUGGAGAGAGGGCUGGGCUGCCCCCUUUGGAACUGGAGGAGUGGUGAAUAUAGGGAGGAAAAGUAUAUAAGAUCUCAAUAAAUCCGCCCAUCUCCUGACUCCACGCUUCCUCCCCUCUCCCCAUCCCAGCCACCUCCACACACACAGACACACAUACACACUCACACAAGUCAGUCAGAUACACCUGCCUCCCUUUGUCCUUCCACACUGAUGUCCCCCCCACACUGCUAAAGCCACUCAGGGCCGUGGCAGGCGCCCCCUGCGCUCCACACCUGAGUGCUGGGCUGGGGCGGGUGGAGA